AUGCACGCUGGCGGCGUGCUUCACACAUGCAAGUCGCACGAUGACCCCGUGCUUGCACGGGUGAUUAGUGGCGAACGGGUGAGUAACACGUGAGUAACCUGCCCCCGACUUUGGGAUAAGCCCGGGAAACUGGGUCUAAUACCGGAUAUGACUUCUUACCGCAUGGUGGGUUGUUGAAAGAUUUAUCGGUGGGGGAUGGACUCGCGGCCUAUCAGCUUGUUGGUGAGGUAAUGGCUCACCAAGGCGACGACGGGUAGCCGGCCUGAGAGGGUGACCGGCCACACUGGGACUGAGACACGGCCCAGACUCCUACGGGAGGCAGCAGUGGGGAAUAUUGCACAAUGGGCGAAAGCCUGAUGCAGCGACGCCGCGUGAGGGAUGACGGCCUUCGGGUUGUAAACCUCUUUCAGUAGGGAAGAAGCGAAAGUGACGGUACCUGCAGAAGAAGCGCCGGCUAACUACGUG
rnacentral:rRNA from 1 species